UAACUGCCGGCAGAGUCUCGACCACCUGUGAUCUUCCUAUUAAUGUCUUUCCGCUUUCCAGUGCUCAGUGCUGACCGUGUUCGCUGAGAUGAAUCCUCCCGGAGACGUUGACGAAGACGGAACGCUGCAGAAAGCCGACCAAGAAUCAUUGUUUCCAGAGCUCCUCAACUUCGCAAGCAGAACUCAAGCCCUAAUCUCAGAAUUGUUGCUCUUAUCUGGUCGAAUCCCUCUUGAGUUUCGUGAUCACCGUUACGAUCCCGUGCUAUUCGAUCUUAGGUACUUUGAUUCUCCCGAUGAUUUUGAGGCGAGAAUUGAAGGAAGCGGGGAACUGGAGGUUCUGGAGGACCAGCUCCGGGAAUCUUGUUCUGUAUUUAUGCAGCGGUUUUUCCUUUUCGCAAAUGGCAUUGUGACGUACCAUCAGGAACUACUCAAAUAUCUUAAUGAAUUAAUGGGAGGAGCUUCUCUACCGAGUAAUCUGGAGGGAGUGUUGGACAACGAGAAUGGACGGCAGUUGCUUGCAGAGUCAUUAGCUUUAUUUGGGUGUUUGCUACUACUUCUGGAGCAUCGAAUGGGCGGUUCUUUACGAGAAAAGCUUCUUGUUGCUCAUGUCCGCUAUGUUCGUUAUUUCAAUGCCCCUAAUAUUGAACCCAUGUGUUUGCUAUGUCGUGUUCACCCAUCUCCAUUGGGCCCACCUCGUCAAACUCAUUCGCCUCCUUGGAGCUCUUCAAUAGUCUCUAUUCAAAAGCCUGAAGAUCUUUUACUCCGAUUUCCUUUCCCAAAGCAGGUUGUGGAAUCUGUUAUCGUUCGCUUGAGGGAUUGUGAUUUGUACAAUAUGUUCCACCAUUACCCUGAUCCUGAGCACCGGACUGUGGCAUUGGCAUCACAAGCCGGAUGGUUGUAUGUUUUGUUGUUCUAUUCACCAGAGUUUCUGAAUAAUGGGUUUGUGAUGCGAGAGAUUAUUGAUAGGUUCUUUAAAGAUUCCUGGGUGGUUCCAUUUUUUAUGUAUUUUACUGUGGAUUUAUCAACAUCAUGGGAUGCAUAUAAAGGAGCAAAAACAUCCAUAUCCUCUCGUCUUUCUUCAUCGUUUAUUCGUGAUCUUUGCCAGCUUCAUUAUUCAAAGGUUAAAGAUCUUACUUUUGAACUAUGCUCACUUCUCUCUGAUGGUGUUCUGACAAGGGAUUAUGUGUUGAAUAACUCCCAGUCUCUUCUAUCCUUGGUUAGGAAUUGCAAUAUUUCACUACGCUGGUUGCUGCUUCACAGAUCUAGUAGUGACAAAAAAUUAAGGGACAUAGUUACUUCUGCAGGAACUGCUCAUGAGAUGGAUGAAGAGAGCAUAGUAUUUUUCUUCUUGAAGACAUCACAGAUUGAGUUUGAAGUGAAACAACUAUAUGUAGAACUUUUCGAUGGCAACGGAACACUGUGGCAAGAAAGCAAAAACUCUGCUUCUGAAUGUGUGCAAGAAUUUUUCAAAUACUAUUCAGGGUCACAGGCAUUGUCAUGGAAAAUAAAGGAUGAAAGUUUGGAGGACUGGCUGAAGAAUUUGCCUAUGGAGAUUUUCUCAGUAGACUACACCAAAACCGGAAAUGCCAGCAGAAAAGUAUAUCAUAUGAUGUUUACAUCAAAAGAAAUUGAACAAAAUCAUGAGAUCAAAGAAAAUUUGCAAACCAAACAAUUCCUUUCCAGAAUUCAGAAGCACUUGCAGCAUAUGCUUGAAGCCCUUAAUUUACACCAUGAUGCUCUCUUAACCUUCUCUGUGGUUACUGAUGCUGUCUAUGCUUGGGGAUUUGUUCAAAGUUUUGGCAAUGAGUUGUGGAAGAAAAUUGAACAAGAUUCCUCAGUUGUGCUGAAUUUGCAUUCUUUCUUCCUGAAGUUUCAAUCAAUGCUUGAUGCACCACUACUACGGAUAUCACAGAACCACAGUCCAGAUCUUCCAUCUGUCUCUGCUUACUAUUCCUCUGAGUAUUUGACUCAUAUAUGUGCAGUACUGGAGAUUAUACCCGUUAUGCUGUUUAGAACACUUGAUGAUGUAGCAUCCACUUUUCAAGCUCUACAACCAUUUCACCUGUUGAACCGUAUAGAGAAGGAUAAACUUAAAGACUUUAUGCGGCCGGAUCAGCAAUUUCAUUUAACGAAGGCAUUUGGUCAAAUAUCUACUUUCUCACAGGGAAUACUUGUUGCAUCUCAGACUCUUCAUGGUCUCAUUGACUUGGAUGUGAAGAACUGGCUCGAGAGUAAAAUAAGGAAGGAACUUCUCAAAAGAUUUGACAACCGACUGAAGUCUUUUUUCUUGUCUUCUAGUGUUGGAUUUGAAGACCUAGAAAUGAAUGUACAGAAGAUGGCAACUUAUAUUCUUUCAGAGUUUCAUCUAAUGGAAUAUUUUCAGGAUAUAAUUCAUAUUCAGUGGACUCACAUUUGGGAAGAAGAAUUCACUGCCUUUCUGCAGGAUAGUGCUCAGAAAGAGCGUGAUGAUUAUGUACCAGGGAAUGAAUUCCCAAGUGCACAGACAUUUUUGGGGAAUUUACUGCACCAAAUUCUUAAGCUGACAAAUCCCUCGCAGUCAAUGUACAUAGAGCCUAUGAGUGGUUGGUUUGAUGCAGCAGGACAUGAAUUACUAGGGCUCCGAUUCUUUGAUCUACUAGAAACAUGUGUAGGACCCGUUGGAAUGGCUUGCUUGGACUCUCUAUUAACUUUCAUUAUUUUGAAUAAAUUAGAGCUUGCUUUGAAGGUUCUUAAAAGUCUGUUGGAUGCAAGAUGCUUGGAAGACUUGCAAACAUUGGAUGUUGCUUUGGGUCCUACGAGCUCCUUGCCUUUGUUGGGAUGGUCAUCCUAUAAGCAGAUGGCCAAAUUUGUAGACACGUCUUGGGAACCAUGGGUUGAAUCUCUAGCAUGUAUUGGCCAAUUGCAGCUAUUAAGAUGCCUGAUAGCAUUAAAGCUGAAGUCAGCAUGCAAGGUUGAAGCUGGUUUAGUUUCUUCAGCAGUUGAUGGUAUGAUUGUUCCGGUUUCCUCUGAGAGUGUAAAAAUACUUGAGGGUAUCGGAAAGGAGAAGAGUGAAAUAGAGGAACUUUUGCUCCGUGAAUUGAGUAGCCAAGGAAUGUUGUGUGGCUAUUGCACACCUCUUCAGACCCUUUAUAUUUCGGAAGAGUCUCCUCCUUUCUUAAGCAGAUGUGCAUCCCUUGUUACAAUCUCACAGUUGCCACGGUAUGUACUUGAUACUCACUUGAGUACUCUAACUAGUAGAUUGAAGAAAGUCCCACUAGAUUUUUCUCCAUUGCCGCCUUUGUCCAGGUUAUUGGACUUGGAACAUUCCUCAGGCAGUUUAAUCCUACUUACAUGGUUCAGUAUGUUCAGUACAUGUGUCAGUACAUAAAAAUUGCAGCUGAAGCAGCAUUUGGAGGAAAAGAUGAAACUCCGAAACAUCCUGUUGAGCCAACACCAGAGUGAAUUGACCUACAUACGCCUGAAUUGGUACUCGGGUGUCGGAGGAAACCCUCUCCCAUUAUAUAUAUGGAAAGGAGAAGAGAAGAAAAGUCAAAGGUGGUAAAAACUCCCACGGAGGAACCAAAGUACUGAUAGCUUCGCUGCUGCUUCCAGAGGCUUCUUUUCGAUUUCCUUGGCAGACCAGGUCCUGAAAUCAGCGUUCUGGCUAUUGCAUUUCUGUAAGCAUAUGGGGCUUCCUGAGUAUCUAGCACACUCAUGCCUACCACCUCUAGUUGCUGUUCUACAAGCCUAACAACUGAGAAGUUUAUUUCUAAUUGGUAAAGUUUAAAGAGGAACUCCAAUCUCUUUUGUGUAUCAUGAGAGUCUGCUUUUGGUUUGAAUACAUCCAUUGUAUCUGCAAGGAACCAAAUCAGCAACUAGAAUACUGAGUUGCCCUUGCCAAGUGAAAUCAUCACCGUGAGUCCCUAAGGAGCACUGGGGAGGUUUUUGUUAAGGGUUGAUGUCUUGUAUUAUGUGGACUGGGUUGUGGGAUGCCUCCGAAGGGCCAUUAAAAGCCCAUAGGUUAGGGUUGACAUGGGGGUAGUUAUGAAAAUUUGUAUCACUUUGUUUUUCCUUUAAAUUGUUGUGAUGCGGGGUUAUUAGGGUUACUGGAAAUUCUUUGUAAAUACAGAGGUGCGAGGAAGAGAGCAUGUAACCUUUCUACGUUGCUAGUGAAACUCUUCUCAUCUCCCUAUGGACAGACACCUUUCCAAA